GCUUGGAGGUUCCAAGAAGAAGUGAUGUGGGAGUUUAUGGGGGAGAUAGGGAUGGGCCAGUUGUAUCUAGCAAGGAGAGCCUGGGCAUUAGAAGCAACAUCAAAGGAGAUAGCUUUCCAAAUCUUAUCUGGGGAUUGGGAUUUGGCAGUCCAUCAAUGGAUGUUGCGUUCCAUCCAGAGGUGGUUAAUGGUAGUGCAAAAGGUCAAUUUACCAAUAGUAUCACAAAUGGUCAAUCCCGAGAAGAUAUAUCAACCCAGAUACAUUCUCUGUUAAAAGGAAGAAUGAGUCUUCUAACAGGCCAACAUUUGGAAAGGACGGUUUUCCAAACUUGGCAGGAAAGGGGAUAGGAGAAGAAGAGAUGAGGGGUAUCCUUUAUGCCCGAGGGACAGAGGCAAUAGGAAGGAUUAACGGGGAUGUUACGGUGGAUGAGAAAGGAUUGGGUUGGAAGACAACUGGAUAGGCAACGCCAAAGAGUGAAAUUAUGGCGGGGGAUAUGACCUUUAAACCAGACCAGUUUAUGCCAGGGAACGGAUAAAAGACCAAGCAGAGGCAGAAGAGAAUAACCCAUUGGAAGAGGGAAGCCAAAUGCAAUGGUCUUCUCUGCCUCU